GCUGUGAUAGCUCAGUCGGUAGAGCACGAGACUCUCAAUCUCAAGGUUGUGGGUUUGAGCCCCGUGUUGGGCA
rnacentral:tRNA from 1 species